rnacentral:ncRNA from 1 species
UAAAAAGCGUUGAUAGAAAAGAGUAAUCUUUUUUGAUCUUAAAGGGAAUGUCUGUCAUUGACUGGAAGCAGGCUAAGAAAGAAAAAGCUGAAGUUCACUUCUGGAGCUUGUCGCAAGACCGGUAAAGCCGUUAAAUCAUAAGUAAGAGCGCCAAGUAAUUGGCGAAUUAGGAUGGUAUCGCGAGACCUCGUUCCUUUA